GUCUCCGAGACAUCCGAUAAAAUUGGAACGAUAUAGAGAAGAUUAGCAUGGCCCCUGUGCAAGGAUGACACACAAAUUGAGAGAUGAUAUUGU
rnacentral:snRNA from 1 species